rnacentral:rRNA from 1 species
GAUGAACGCUGGCGGCGUGCUUAACACAUGCAAGUCGAACGAUGAAGCCCAGCUUGCUGGGUGGAUUAGUGGCGAACGGGUGAGUAACACGUGAGUAACCUGCCCUUAACUCUGGGAUAAGGCUGGGAAACUGGGUCUAAUACCGGAUAGGAGCGUCCACCGCAUGGUGGGUGUUGGAAAGAUUUAUCGGUUUUGGAUGGACUCGCGGCCUAUCAGCUUGUUGGUGAGGUAAUGGCUCACCAAGGCGACGACGGGUAGCCGGCCUGAGAGGGUGACCGGCCACACUGGGACUGAGACACGGCCCAGACUCCUACGGGAGGCAGCAGUGGGGAAUAUUGCACAAUGGGCGCAAGCCUGAUGCAGCGACGCCGCGUGAGGGAUGACGGCCUUCGGGUUGUAAACCUCUUUCAGUAGGGAAGAAGCGAAAGUGACGGUACCUGCAGAAGAAGCACCGGCUAACUACGUG